rnacentral:lncRNA from 1 species
AACCAAGUACUGUAAAAAAUAAAUAAAAAAGCUAUUGAUAAUUGAUCAAUGAAUGAGCCAAGUUCACAAUUCAUUUGCUUUCCAUGGGCAGUUUCUGAUGGACUGGAGAGCGACAUUUAACAAGAUACCUCAAAUAAGAAAGUUACACAACUAACACUUUUCUCAAUAGUGUAAAAAAAAAUUACUUACCUUUUAUAGUUGCUGAUGAGGACCGAGGAGGCGAGGACUGAGAACUGAGAAAGACUGAGGACUGAGGAAGACAGAGGAUUGAGGACAACCAAGUUGCUGACAGCGUUGAGAGCCGAUGGACUGGAGAGCGACGGCCGAAGAUUGCGUGGAGAGCGACGACCGACGAUUGUGUGGAGACUGGAGAGAGAGAAUAGAGAGCUACAGUGAGGUGAGGAGGAGUCGGCGACU